rnacentral:rRNA from 14 species
CAAUCUACCAAAAUCCAAAUCGAAAUUUUAAAAUAAACAAUAAUAGAAAUAGUCCGCCAGUCUCUCUCGCGAAUCGAGAACCCACAAGACCCACAUCAUCAUCAAUUUUGUUACCCACAUCCACACCUAUCGAAUCCUAUACUACUGAUAAUAAUAACUUCAAUACUAAUACUCGGUAUCUAUUCUAUCAACAAAGUCCCUUCGCUUUCUUCUUACUGAUGGUAGGAUG